AUUGAACGCUGGCGGCAGGCCUAACACAUGCAAGUCGAGCGGAUGACGGGAGCUUGCUCCUUGAUUCAGCGGCGGACGGGUGAGUAAUGCCUAGGAAUCUGCCUGGUAGUGGGGGACAACGUUUCGAAAGGAACGCUAAUACCGCAUACGUCCUACGGGAGAAAGCAGGGGACCUUCGGGCCUUGCCCUAUCAGAUGAGCCUGGGUCGGAUUAGCGAGUUGGUGGGGUAAUGGCUCACCAAGGCGACGAUCCGUACCAGGUCUGAGAGGAUGAUCAGUCACACUGGAACUGAGACACGGUCCAGACUCCUACGGGAGGCAGCAGUGGGGAAUAUUGGACAAUGGGCGAAAGCCUGAUCCAGCCAUGCCGCGUGUGUGAAGAAGGUCUUCGGAUUGUAAAGCACUUUAAGUUGGGAGGAAGGGCAGUAAGCUAAUACCUUGCUGUUUUGACGUUACCGACAGAAUAAGCACCGGCUAACUCUGUGCCAGCAGCCGCGGUAAUAC
rnacentral:rRNA from 1 species